AGAAAUGUUUUGGCUCUACUAACAAAAUUUUGAAAGUCAUAUCUGUAGUUCAGGUAAAAAUUGUGAUGUCUGUGUAAAGUAUCAUCUCACCAAAGGACAUCACAAGGCCUUAGCACUGCCCUGCUUACAAAAGAAGAACUUAGAGCAUUGGUGUUAUUGCCAGUAACAUGGUAAGUCACAGAGCAGCGUGUGAACUGUUUACGAAAAAACAAGUUUCGGAUCUACAAUGACGUGAAAAAUAUCAGCAUUCUUAAAAAAAAAGGAAUGAAAUAAUAUUUUUCCAGAAGUUAGGCCUUGUUUUGCUUUUAUUUGUCUCCAUUUUUGUACAUUAAAUCUUUGUGAAAUAAAUAUUAUAAAACACAAAAAAAUUAUUUGUACUAAGCAUAGUUACAGAACUGGAAGCCUUAUAGGUGGAAUACAUUAUAUUCUUAGCCACAGGAGAAGAGAGAUGGAGCUAAAUGUUUGAUAUAAUGAAGGAGAAGAUUGGUAAGAGUAUCAUAUAAUCAAGUCAAGGAUGGAUUUGAUCUGCUAGAAAUUAAUGGAAGAUAAAUCAUUGAAGAUCAUUAUUAGCAAAUCUUUUUUCCAUUCUUUAGAGUGUUAACUUCAAGAAGUGGUAAUUUUUAUUUUAUUUUUAGUAAAGGGGAUAGUUUUUUUAUUAAUACAACAAAUAGGUAACUUAGAAGUAGUUAUAACUAAAAUUCCAUGUAUAUUAACCUGGGUUGAGAAAAGGAAUACUAAAAGACUUAGCGAGAAAGUGAUUGGAAAGACUGAAGUUAUGAAAACAGCUCAUUUUUCUGAAGUGAAAUGUAAGCAUUGUCAAGAGUUGUUAAAUCUCGAGAUAAAAAGAAUUCACACUUAUUUCAAAACGAAAAUUAGUUUCUUCAGAGUUUCUACAUCAAAUGAAUGAAGCUUUGUCUGUUGAAGUAGAAGAAAAAACAUGGGUUUGAUGAUCUUCCAAGUGAGACAUCUUCAGUGCCAUUGAAAGUUAGCCACAAUGAAAAUGUAAUUCCCUACUCUAGGUCUUCCUGCAGCUCUUUAACUGCAAACUCCUUUCACAGCAUUCUCAGUUCAUCUUUGAAAACCACAAUAUGACAGAUCAAUUGGUGACUGCACCUUAAAAAAAAAAGGAAGAAAAGAAAGAAAUGAAGUCGAAGACUUGAACUUGAUAGAAAGUUGCAACCUUCUUUUCUUCUAAAAACAUCAUCUUCAGUGUAGCACAAAAUGAGCAAUUUGAAAGUGAUUGAAGCACUUUGCCCUGAAUACUCUCAUUCAGACAGAUUUAAAUUUGUGGUUUCGUAUUAGAUACUACAAGUGAGGAGACAGAGGAAAAAAUUAAAGGAACAACUAAAAAAAAUCAACUUUGACAUUAAGGCAGAUGGUUCGUUGCACAUGAGAAAUGAUCCAAUAAUGGAUACAAGUAUCCAUAGAGAAAAAAGGAUUCCUACUUAAUGCUAUCGAUUUUGUGUCUGAAAAGUAAAGCAAAGAAUAUUGUGUCCAGGUUGUUGUAGAUGUUGCCUAGUAGUUCAAAAGAAAACCAGAGGAGAGAUCUUUUAAUUUGUUUUAAUGAUGGAAAUAAGGAGAAUAAAGCUAUUUACAGUAAAAAUCACUUUAAACAUUUCUAUGGUAGGUGUUCAGUGUACACUGAUAGAAUGGUUGUGAAAUAAUGUAGCAUCAUAUGGCAUAUUUUGGGAGUUCAGAGAUUUUCCUGCAACAUCUAUCUCGUAUUUGUUUGAUU